UGAGGAAUAUUGGUCAAUGGGCGCAAGCCUGAACCAGCCAUCCCGCGUGAAGGAAGAAGGCGCUAUGCGUUGUAAACUUCUUUUCCAGGGGGAGAAUUUUUCCGUCGUGACGGGAAUUGACGGUACUCUGGGAAUAAGCAUUGGCUAACUCCGUGCCAGCAGCCGCGGUAAUACGGAGGAUGCGAGCGUUAUCCGGAUUUAUUGGGUUUAAAGGGUGCGUAGGCGGAUUGAUAAGUCAGUGGUGAAAGGCUGCAGCUUAACUGUAGACUUGCCGUUGAUACUGUCAGUCUUGAGUAUGGUCAAAGCAGGCGGAAUGUGUAAUGUAGCGGUGAAAUGCUUAGAUAUUACACAGAACACCGAUUGCGAAGGCAGCUUGCUGGGCCAUGACUGACGCUCAUGCACGAAAGCGUGG
rnacentral:rRNA from 1 species